rnacentral:lncRNA from 1 species
UGGGUCAAUAGUAUCCGUAUCAAAGAAUCUUAUAGGCUAAUGAUCUACUGCCCAGAUGACUCCCACAUAUUGCAUGUACCUCUCGAAAGGUGUACUCAGUUUUUAAAAGAUAAAGAUAUUGGAGAAGUGACAGGGAGAAAGAUCAUUUGUAAAGCUUGUCUUAUUAAAAAAUAUAGUUGAAAGCUCGAUAUCUGAUCUUCCAGGCCUCCUUAGAGC